rnacentral:rRNA from 1 species
GCUGGUAGACUACCAGUUUGAUAGGUGGCGUGUGUAAGCGCAGCGAUGUGUUGAGCUAAGCCAUACUAAUGGCCAAAGGCUUAAUUUU